GGUGAACGCUGGCGGUGGGCCUAACACAUGCAAGUCGAACGGCAGCACAGUAAGAGCUUGCUCUUACGGGUGGCGAGUGGCGGACGGGUGAGGAAUACAUCGGAAUCUACUUUUUCGUGGGGGAUAACGUAGGGAAACUUACGCUAAUACCGCAUACGACCUACGGGUGAAAGCAGGGGAUCUUCGGACCUUGCGCGAUUGAAUGAGCCGAUGUCGGAUUAGCUAGUUGGCGGGGUAAAGGCCCACCAAAGCGACGAUCCGUAGCUGGUCUGAGAGGAUGAUCAGCCACACUGGAACUGAGACACGGUCCAGACUCCUACGGGAGGCAGCAGUGGGGAAUAUUGGACAAUGGGCGCAAGCCUGAUCCAGCCAUACCGCGUGGGUGAAGAAGGCCUUCGGGUUGUAAAGCCCUUUUGUUGGGAAAGAAAAGCAGCAGGUUAAUACCCCGCUGUUCUGACGGUACCCAAAGAAUAAGCACCGGCUAACUUCGUG
rnacentral:rRNA from 1 species